rnacentral:rRNA from 1 species
AUACGUAGGGUGCGAGCGUUAAUCGGAAUUACUGGGCGUAAAGCGUGCGCAGGUGGUUUUGUAAGUCAGAUGUGAAAUCCCCGGGCUUAACCUGGGAACUGCGUUUGAAACUGCAAGGCUAGAGUGUGGCAGAGGGGGGUGGAAUUCCGCGUGUAGCAGUGAAAUGCGUAGAUAUGUGGAGGAACACCGAUGGCGAAGGCAGCCCCCUGGGUCAACACUGACGCUCAGGCACGAAAGCAUGGGGAGCAAACAGGAUUAGAAACCCCAGUAGUCC